UACAGAGGGUGCAAGCGUUGUCCGGAAUUAUUGGGCGUAAAGCGCGCGCAGGCGGCUAUUUAAGUCUGAUGUUUAAUCCUAAGGCUCAACCUUAGGUCGCAUUGGAAACUGGGUAGCUUGAGUGCAGAAGAGGAGAGUGGAAUUCCAGGUGUAGCGGUGAAAUGCGUAGAUAUCUGGAGGAAUACCGGUGGCGAAGGCGGCAUCCUGGACCGGCAUUGACGCUGAGGAGCGAAAGCUAGGGGAGCAAACGGG
rnacentral:rRNA from 1 species